GCGCUUGCGGUGGCUGCACCGAGUUUGAGUGCGUCCCUCAGCACGUAGUCCUGCAGCCGAGAACGUGCCAGUCGGCAGCAUUCCCCCACGGACAUCUCCGUGUGCUGGCAGACCAUCAAGUUUCGGGCCGACCAAAGAGCGUCUUUCACCGAGUUGAUGAUCUGCCAGCAACCUCCUGGUUAAAAGGUAGCUCUUUUACACAGUUUGAAGUCGAUAGUCAAACUGAGGGAACUGCCGUGAAACUCUGCUUAUGAAUUCAUGAAGCGCACCUGAUUGAAAGGCAUUCACAGUAGAAUGAAGAAAUACAAUAGGAUCAAUAAAAAGCUACGCUCAAAGACUGAAACAACCAAUGUGCAAAAGACGACAAGGAAUGGGACUUUUUCUUGGGGUCUCACGACUGGCUGUUAUUCAAUAUACCAAGAACGUGGCCUAGAAGACUAGCAUGCCUUCAGGAUUCUGGGAUUUUGUGGCUCUGGAGGUGGGCGGACUCUGGGUCAGUGCCUCUGCAGGACAUCAGUGUGCCGUGGGAGAUGGAAGAUCGAAAGCAGCAAGCUGGCUGCUGGGUGUGUACCCAGAGACCCGAGCUCUUUGGGCAGAAAACUCGGAAAAAAUGAUGCAACGGACUUAUAAUAUUGUAAAUCAACGAGUCGUUUGUUACAUCUCCCCUCUCACUGUGAAAUGGAGAUACCUCCUUUUCCCCUAUUAGGGAGAGGGAGCGAGCCUGUGGUACAUUGAAUUACUGGGUGAAUGAGUAGUCUGUGUCUUUAUUGAUGGUUUGCUGCGCG